AUAUGAAGAAGCCUCUUGUCUUUAUGGAUUUAUCCAUCUUUAAAUGUCCUCCUGAUAGAUUAGUAAUCGAGCUUUUUUAUGACGACGUCCCUAAAACAGCCGAGAAUUUUCGAGCCCUCUGCACAGGACCGGGUUUUUUUUUUUUAGAAUUUUGAAACACCUACCUUUGCAUUGUAUUUACAAUAUUAUCAUCAUGUGCAGGGGAAAAGGGGAUCGGAGAAACUACCCGAAAACCUUUGCACUACAAAGGAACUAAAUUCUUUCUUUUAUUAGACUGUGCUGCUCUAGGAGGUGAUUUCGAGAAUAAUAAUGGCACCGGUGGGGAAAGCAUUUACGGAGGAACUUUUCAAGCUGAGAGGUGUCCAUGGCGUUGUCGUGGGCCCGGUAUAUUUAUGACGUGGAGUCAAGGAGCCCCAGUAGCAAACGGGCCAGUUUUUACUAAUCCAAUUAUAAUCAAUUGUAGUCCGGAGACAAAAAUAGGAAGAAGUGUCUGCUGCAUUUUUGAACAACUUCCUUUCUUAUAAGGUCAUUGAUAGGGAAGCUACAUCUGAAAAGCCUUCUAGCAAUCCAGACGAGAUGUCGGAAUCACAUGAAUCGAACGCUGAGAAAUCGGAAAUGAAGCCAGCCGCUGUGGGAUUGACCAACAGUUCUAGCUAUCCACAUCAUCGUUCAGAUGAUACGCUCAAACCCAGGGGUACCCGAAUUGUUUAUUUAAAGAGGAAAAGUCGAAGCGCAGUCUCUGAAAAUGAAAAAAACAUUGUGACAAAGUCUGAUAAAGAACAUUAGAGUGUAGUCGAGACUGUUUUGGAUACACGUGAAUGGAAUGCUGAGAAGAAAGUGGUUGAUAAGAAGGAAUACACGUGAAUGGGAUGGAAACUCAAUCGUUGUAGUUGAAAACAACAUUGUGACGGAGUCUGAUAAAGAACAUUGUAAUGUACUCAAGAGGGCUUUAAAUAUAAGUGAAAAAAAUGCCGCUGCUUAUUAGUCACUUGCAGUCGUUGAAGAAGAGAACGACAUUGUGAUGGAGUUUGAUAAAGAACUCAAGUUCGAAAAACUGAGGUCUCUGCUCGGUGUAAUCAUGUCGGUUCUUGAUAUAUGUGAAUCAAAUGCUGAGAAGAAAGUGGCUGAUAAGGAAUUGACGAACGGUUCUAGCAAUGAUACAAGCAAAUCCAGGGUUGUCCGGAUUAUUGAUUUAGUGAACCAGUCUAAGAAGGGAAGUGGAAGCCCAAUCUCUAAAGAAGAUGAAAACAACAUUGUGACUGAGUCCGAUAAAGGGUUUUUGCACGAUGUAAUCAUGACGGCUUUGGAUACACGUGAAUCAAAUGCUGAGAAGAAAGUGGCUGAUAAGAAGAGGAAGAGUUUGGAGGUUUGGCCGGUGAUUGCAGCGUCUGCAGGAGCGGUGAUUUUGGGUGUAGUUGCAUACUUCCGCCAUCAAAAGUCUGGAGUGGUCUACAGGGAGCAUCGUAACCGUUGAAGAUCAGGUAUUUUGUUUGGUUUACUAGAAGGGCAUCUGUUUAUUAUCAAAGUUUAAUAGAAUGCAUAUUUUUUGUCAAUGCUAUAACCACCAAAAUACGGUUAUUUUGUUUGGUUUACUAGAAAGGCAUCUGUUUAUCAUCUAAGUUUAAUAGAAUGCAAAGCUUUUGUAA